UAAAAGGUUUUUUUUAAAACCAACCUCGAGUCUUAGUACUUUUAUUU
rfam:Absidia repens strain NRRL 1336 BCR42scaffold_19, whole genome shotgun sequence.